CAAGUCGAACGAGAAAGUGGAGCAAUCCAUGAGUACAGUGGCGUACGGGUGAGUAACACGUGGGUAAUCUACCUCUUAGUGGGGAAUAACCGAGGGAAACCUUGGCUAAUACCGCAUAAGCCUGAGAAGGGAAAGCAGCAAUGCGCUGAGAGAGGAGCCCGCGGCUGAUUAGCUAGUUGGUGGGGUAAGAGCCCACCAAGGCAGAGAUCGGUAGCCGGCCUGAGAGGGCACACGGCCACACUGGCACUGAAACACGGGCCAGACUCCUACGGGAGGCAGCAGUGGGGAAUCUUGCACAAUGGGGGAAACCCUGAUGCAGCGACGCCGCGUGAGCGAUGAAGCCCUUCGGGGUGUAAAGCUCUUUCGUCAGGGAAGAUUAUGACGGUACCUGGAGAAGCAGCUGCGGCUAACUACGUGCCAGCAGCCGCGGUAAUACGUAGGCAGCAAGCGUUGUUCGGAGUUACUGGGCGUAAAGGGUGUGUAGGCGGUUCUUUAAGUUUGGUGUGAAAUCUCCCGGCUCAACUGGGAGGGUGCGCCGAAUACUGAGGGACUAGAGUACGGGAGAGGAAAGUGGAAUUCCUGGUGUAGCGGUGAAAUGCGUAGAUAUCAGGAGGAACACCGGUGGUGUAGACGGCUUUCUGGACCGACACUGACGCUGAGACACGAAAGCGUGGGUAGCAAACAGGAUUAGAUACCCUGGUAGUCCACGCCCUAAACGAUGCAUAUUUGGUGUGGGCAGUUCAUUCUGUCCGUGCCGGAGCUAACGCGUUAAAUAUGCCGCCUGGGGAGUACAGUCGC
rnacentral:rRNA from 1 species